UUAAGAGAGAGAUAGAGAGGAUGGAGAGGGAAGGAGAGAAAAAUGAAGGAGAGGAUCCAAGUCCGUGAAACUGCUCUAUGUGAUAAUCAUUAAAUGGUAUGUUAAUGAAUCUUACCGGGGAGGAUACUGAAGACGCUUGUUGACCGUGUCACCAGCACUACUGAUAAUGAUCGAGGAGUAGAUUUUGAUUUGGAUAUAUUGGUUACUCUGGUCUUUGAGGAACAGGAGUAUAUUAGGCCUGUUUUGAGUAUGAUGCGUGGAGUUUCCGAACUUUCAAAUAUUGACCGAGCUGCUCUGUGGCACAGUUAUUUGCUAGUGAAGAUGAAAUUAUCUGAGUUCGUGAAAAAAGCAAAACUGAGAUUUUUAAUAUGGCUAAGGAAAAAGCUAUUCUAUCACAAAAGCUGAGUGAAUACGAGGCCACAAACAGUCAUCUCAAGGUGUUUUGUAUGUCUUGGUUGAUAAUUUAUUGUGGGUUAAUGGAGAAUUCACUUCUGGUACAUUUUAUGAUUCAACAGUCUGAAACGAAGGCUGAGGUAGAUCGGUUUUCUCGGGAAAAGAAGGGAACUAGGAGAAUAUAUUCAUGAAGUUGAGAGUCAGCUUAAAUGGGAUCUCAGAGUGGGAUGAUGAAAUAUUAAAGCUCUCUGCAGAGAAGAAAAUUCUUCAUGAUGGUUUGCAUAAUGCAGAGACACAACUUUCUAAGUUGAAGUCUCAGAAACAUGAUGAACUAAAGUGUAUGUUUGCAGACCUUCUAUUUUGACGUUAGGCAAGCUGGGAGGGAUGGUUACGCUUACGCAUGACUGGCUAACUGAUGCUUCUCAAGAGAAAUACAAGCAGCAUAAGUUUAAACAUGUGGCAAACCUGCCUUCGCCUCCUCAUUUACCAAGUUCUCUGUUUGAAGUAGAGUGAAGUAAUUGGAUGAAAGUUGGUUUUUUUUUUUUUUUGAAGUGGUUCAGUUUCUAAUGGAUCUGACUGAAUUUUAUGCAAGAAACAUGCUACCUUGAAUAUGACUUUACUAAUAAGUAAUUUCGAUGCUGAAUAUCAAUUUUCUGGAGGUUAUAUGGUAUAUGAAAGUUAAUCUAAUUGGCUAUUAAGUUGUGGUCAAGACAUCUAUACUUUUUUAGCCUAGUUAGGUAUUGAAUUGUGGUAGCUUUAAUUCAAGUUACAGUUUACAUCUUAAACUUCCACUUCAGAAAUAGCAAGGGUGGUUUGUCAUUUACUUUCAAUGUCAUUACAUUGGCGUCUUUCAUUCAUCAUGAAAAUGUAAAUGUUUCUCUAUGUUGAUAAUUUCAGUGGUCUUUCCU